AUUUGCCUAUGAAUUUCAUAAAGGCAUUGUUUUUGAUAGCUGAGUAAUAUUCCAUUGUGUAGAUGUACCACAUUUUCUGUAUCCAUUCCUCUGUUGAAGGGCAUCUGGGUUCUUUCCAGCUUCUGGCUAUUAUAAAUAAGGCUGCUAUGAACAUAGUGGAGCACGUGUCUUUUUUAUAUGUUGGGGCAUCUUUUGGGUAUAUGCCCAAGAGAGGUAUAGCUGGAUCCUCAGGCAGUUCAAUGUCCAAUUUUCUGGGGAACCUCCAGACUGAUUUCCAGAAUAGUUGUACCAGUCCAACAGAGUGUUUUAAUGGAUGUGUUUGAAGUCCUUUCUGGAACUGCGUCUAAGUAAGUUAAACAAGCCAGAACAUCCAUAUUUAGAUCACAUUUUGAGGCUGAUGAGAUGGAGUUAGAGGGUACCUGAAAGGUUGAUGUAGCUAGGACAGAAUAGAAACUGAAUGAGACAGAGAGGGGAGAGAGGCUGAUAGCAUGGCUCUCCACCAUGUCAGAUGCUGCCUCCUUUUUUAUCAAAUAUGUUAAGAUUCCUUAUUGUUCUAGUGAACUCACAGAGAAUGUCAAAUAGAAUUAGUUGCUUAAUCUACUUGAGGUAGGGUCUCUGUGUAGAUCAUAGAACUUGAAGUGCUGCAGUGCACCACUGUACUGGCCGGUUGUGUGUCAACUUGACACACGCUGGAGUUAUCACAGAAAGGAGCCUCCCUUGAGGAAAUGCCUCCAUGAGAUCCAGCUGUAAGUAUAUUCUCAGUUAGUGAUCAAGGGUGGGAGGGCCCAUUGUGGGUGGUGCCAUCCUGGGCUGUCCUCCUGGGUUCUAUAG
rnacentral:lncRNA from 1 species